rnacentral:rRNA from 1 species
UACGUAGGCAGCAAGCGUUGUUCGGAGUUACUGGGCGUAAAGGGUUUGUAGGCGGUUUCUUAAGUUUGGUGUGAAAUCCCCCGGCUCAACUGGGAGGGUGCGCCGAAUACUGAGUGACUCGAGUGCGGGAGAGGAAAGUGGAAUUCCUGGUGUAGCGGUGAAAUGCGUAGAUAUCAGGAGGAAUACCGGUGGUGUAGACGGCUUUCUGGACCGUAACUGACGCUGAAACACGAAAGCGUGGGUAGCAAACAGG